rnacentral:rRNA from 1 species
GACGAACCGUGCGAACGUUAUUCGGAAUCACUGGGCUUAAAGGGCGCGUAGGCGGUCAGUCAAGUCAGGGGUGAAAUCCCACGGCUCAACCGUGGAAGGGCCUUUGAUACUGGCUGUCUCGAGGGAGGUAGGGGCGUGCGGAACUUCCGGUGGAGCGGUGAAAUGCGUAGAUAUCGGAAGGAACGCCGGUGGUGAAGGCGGCGCGCUGGACCUCUUCUGACGCUGAGGCGCGAAAGCAAGGGGAGCAAACGGG